GGAUGGUCUAGGGGGCUUAUCGGCUUACCGAAAUCAGCCAAACUCCGAAUGCUGGCAAGUGUAGCGUGGCAGUGAGACGGCGGGGGAUAAGCUUCGUCGUCGAGAGGGAAACAGCCCAGAUCGCCGGCUAAGGCCCCUAAGCGUGUACUAAGUGGAAAAGGAUGUGGGAUCGCUGAGACAGCCAGGAGGUUGGCUUAGAAGCAGCCAUCCUUUAAAGAAAGCGUAAUAGCUCACUGAUCGAGUCGUCCUGCGCGGAAGAUGUAACGGGGCUAAGCCAGUCACCGAAGCUGCGGAUCA
rnacentral:rRNA from 1 species